AUUGAACGCUGGCGGCAUGCCUUACACAUGCAAGUCGAACGGCAGCACGGGUGCUUGCACCUGGUGGCGAGUGGCGCACGGGUGAGUAAUACAUCGGGACAUGUCCUGUAGUGGGGGAUAGCCCGGCGAAAGCCGGGUUAAUACCGCAUACGAUCUACGUGUGAAAGCGGGGGCCCUUCGGGCCUCGCGCUUUAGGGUUGGCCGAUGGCGGAUUAGCUAGUUGGUGGGGUAAAGGCCUACCAAGGCGACGAUCAGUAGCUGGUCUGAGAGGACGACCAGCCACACUGGGACUGAGACACGGCCCAGACUCCUACGGGAGGCAGCAGUGGGGAAUUUUGGACAAUGGGCGAAAGCCUGAUCCAGCAAUGCCGCGUGUGUGAAGAAGGCCUUCGGGUUGUAAAGCACUUUUGUCCGGAAAGAAAUACUUGGCCAUAAUACGGUCGGGGGAUGACGGUACCGGAAGAAUAAGCACCGGCUAACUACGUG
rnacentral:rRNA from 1 species